CCUAUUGCGAUAACUAAAACUAAAAUAGAUGCACAAACAGGCAACACCACGCAGUUUACUGAACUGCGAACACGUACUAAGGCCAAACUUAAAGAGUUUUUAAAGGAAACGCAACGAAAAGCCAAUGAGGCACCUAUGGUUUGGGUCGGGCGGCUAGCCUUAGAACAUGGAGCAGAAUUGGUGGACCGUGAGGAGGCUGGCAUCUUAGCCAAAACGGCCAAUUGGGCUCGAGGCUUCCCAGGUCAUGCUUUAUUAAAUAAUCGCAUUUGGCCACUUACCACCCCAGCAGCUGCCGUUUUAGCAAUGCAAGGCAGUUUUAAAGGAUUGUAUAUCCCCCCGGGAGCCUUAGUUACUCCACACGAUUUAAUAUGGGCACUCGCAGGAGCUUCCAUAGCCCUGUGGGAUCCACUACAAAACCCACUUAAUUUAACUGUUCAACAGCAAUUGGUGGCCACAACCUUUAUACAUGUUACUGAUCCCACCCAAAUUCCUGUCUCAGCAGAGGCAGUAGAUUUAGCAUUAGAAGCUGCCCCUGGAGCUGACACCGGUGCCAUGCUGCACUUGCAUGCGGCUGUUCGCAGAUCCAUCUUAACGUUAUUUGAAGUAGUUAGUAAAAUUAAGUUGUCACUGCCGCCCCCGCCUGUUGUCCUCCCAGUUGAUUCGCCACCAAAAGACCCUCCAAAGAGUCAGUUUAAUCCCCAAAAAUAUCCUGAGCGAACUAAAGCUGAACGGGCACGAUUUGGCUUCCUUCUUAACAAAGGAAUCCCCAAAGAAGCCCUGCGUAAAAUGUCAGAUCAAGAGCAGCAAAAUAUAGCCAAACAGCUAGGCUGGAAAAAUUGGGAGGACUAUGUUAGGUCAAAAAACGAAUAGGGGCCGGAUGCUGCCCGGCCCAAAUUAAAGAUCCCACCGAUGAACGCCCAUACACCACCCUGUUAGUUAACGGUGACACCCCCACCUCCUUUUUAUUAGACACUGGAGCUCAAGUUAGCAUUAUUGAGCCCAACGUUCCCCACUGUACUACUGGCUCCUUUAUGUUUGUUCAAGGCCUCAAUGCAGUACAAGAAAAACCCGUGGUUUGGGUUAAAAUUGCCCACGAAAAAUACGUAAGAAAA
rnacentral:lncRNA from 1 species